UCUAAAUACUCAAACAUAUUUAGAGGAGAGUGAAAGACACAAAUGCUGUUAACUUGUGAAAAUGUUUAGUUGAUUUGAUGAAGGAGACUCCAUCCACAGAACAAAGACUAUAUACUGGAUAUCUGUACAUUAACAACAGACACACAACUGAAUAUAAAUUAAAAUAGAAUAAUAAUGUAUAUAAAACAUGAGAUAAGAAAAGUAACAUGGAAAUUUGACACAUUGUAGAUUUGCUUUAUAUCUUUUGACACAUUUAAGUGCUGCACUUGACAAUCACAUUUAAACAUUUGAAUCAUUAUGAAUGAGUUUAAUAGAAAUAUUAUUAAACUGAA